rnacentral:rRNA from 1 species
UACGUAGGGUGCGAGCAUUGUCCGGAAUUAUUGGGCGUAAAGGGCUCGUAGGCGGUUUGUCGCGUCGGGAGUGAAAUCCACUGGCUUAACUGGUGGCUUGCUUUCGAUACGGGCAGACUGGAGGUAUGCAGGGGAGAACGGAAUUCCUGGUGUAGCGGUGAAAUGCGCAGAUAUCAGGAGGAACACCGGUGGCGAAGGCGGUUCUCUGGGCAUGUCCUGACGCUGAGGAGCGAAAGUGUGGGGAGCGAACAGG